rnacentral:lncRNA from 1 species
AUGGCACGUCUCAACAGGCAUGGAAAACAUACCUCGCCGCUCCGAGGGACUGAUUCUGCAGGUACGGGACUGAGCAGAGGAUCAGACUGUUAUCACACAGCUAACUCUCCCGUUGCAGACAAUAUUACACAGAUCGGACACCUUGUACACCUCACACACACAGAGGAUCAUGGCAGGAGUACUGAAGGCUGUCCUGUUGCUGUGGGUCCCCAGGUCUCUGCCCAGGACCCAGAAUACGACCACCUGUUAGUGAGGCCCAGGAACAUCAGUGGUAUGGCAUGGUGGAAGCAUAGAGACCUGGCUGUGAAUAUAAAUUACAAGAGCCAUCAAAUGUUAUGAUAUGAUUGAUGUACAUUUAGCAAUAUCUGUAGAUACAUGUCGUUAACUUAAGUCUAGUAUACACAAGUAGAUUAGCAAUUGUGGAGGAAUAAUGGUGGAUAUUCAUGAACUACUCUUCAAGCAAGUGCUGCAUGUUGUUUAAUCACUCUCUGCCCAGAUGAAAUGGACGACUGCCCCAUCAAUGUGUACUUCUCAUGGACACCUCUGAGAGUGUUGCUCUGAGGGAGUCCCCUGGGGCAGUCUGGUGGAUGAGCUCAAGGAGUCAUCCAGAUUUUUGUGGAGAGCGCCAGGCCACCUCCCUCAGGGCCAGAGGGGCCCAGUGGGCCUACGGUGGGCUGCACUUCUCAGACCGUGUGGAAGUCUUCAGCAGGUGGUCACUGAUGCUGCAGAUUUCCUGGGAAGGGCACAGGCCAUCGGGUACAUUACUCAGUCAGCCAGCCAGACACUGUCAGUCAGUCCCUCCUCAUAUUACUUGCUUACUUACUUACUG